rnacentral:rRNA from 1 species
UACGAAGGGGGCUAGCGUUGUUCGGAAUUACUGGGCGUAAAGCGCGCGCAGGCGGUCCUUCAAGUCAGAGGUGAAAGCCCAGAGCUCAACUCUGGAACGGCCUUUGAGACUAGAGGACUUGGGUACGGGAGAGGUGAGUGGAAUUCCGAGUGUAGAGGUGAAAUUCGUAGAUAUUCGGAAGAACACCAGUGGCGAAGGCGGCUCACUGGCCCGUUACCGACGCUCAGGCGCGGCAGCGUGGGGAGCAAACAGG